rnacentral:rRNA from 1 species
CUGGUUGAUCCUGCCUGAACUGAUGUGUUCAUUUCAAAGAUUAAGCCAUGCAUGUAUAAGUAUAAACGACUUGAUCGUGAAACCGCGAACGGCUCAUUAUAACAGCUAUAAUUUACUUGAUCUUGACAACCUACUUGGAUAACUGUGGUAAUUCUAGAGCUAAUACAUGCACCAAAGCUCCGACCGUAAGGGAAGAGCGCAUUUAUUAGAACAAAACCAAGCGGCUUCGGCCGUCCGAUGUUGACUCAGAAUAACUAAGCUGAUCGCAUGGUCUUGUACCGGCGACGUGUCUUUCAAGUAUCUGCCUUAUCAACUUUCGAUGGUAGUGUAUCUGACUACCAUGGUGAUGACGGGUAACGGAGGAUAAGGGUUCGACUCCGGAGAAGGGGCCUGAGAAAUGGCCACUACGUCUAAGGAUGGCAGCAGGCGCGCAAAUUACCCACUCUCAGAACGAGGAGGUAGUGACGAGAAAUAACGAGACCGUUCUCUUAAGAGGCCGGUCAUCGGAAUGGGUACAAUCUAAACCCUUUAACGAGUAUCUAUGAGAGGGCAAGUCUGGU